rnacentral:rRNA from 1 species
UACGUAGGGAGCAAGCGUUAUCCGGAAUUAUUGGGCGUAAAGCGCGCGCAGGCGGUUUCUUAAGUCUGAUGUGAAAGCCCACGGCUCAACCGUGGAGGGUCAUUGGAAACUGGGGAACUUGAGUGCAGAAGAGAAAAGCGGAAUUCCACGUGUAGCGGUGAAAUGCGUAGAGAUGUGGAGGAACACCAGUGGCGAAGGCGGCUUUUUGGUCUGUAACUGACGCUGAGGCGCGAAAGCGUGGGGAGCAAACAGG